rnacentral:rRNA from 1 species
GGAAGGACUGCCAUCGACAAGAUGGAGGAAGGUGGGGAUGACGUCAAGUCAUCAUGGCCCUUAUGUCCAGGGCGACACACGUGCUACAAUGGCCGGCACAACGGGAAGCGAGUUCGCGAGGACGAGCGGAUCCCUCAAAGCCGGUCGCAGUUCGGAUUGAAGUCUGCAACUCGACUUCAUGAAGCUGGAAUCGCUAGUAAUCGUGGAUCAGCCAAGCCGCGGUGAAUACGUUCCCGGGCCUU